GAUGAACGCUAGCUAUAGGCUUAACACAUGCAAGUCGAGGGGAAACGGCAUUAUGUGCUUGCACAUUUUGGACGUCGACCGGCGCACGGGUGAGUAUCGCGUAUCCAACCUGCCCUUUACUUGGGGAUACCCCGUUGAAAGACGGCCUAAUACCCGAUGUAAUUCAUUGAUGGCAUCAGAUAUGAAUAAAAGAUUUAUCGGUAAAGGAUGGGGAUGCGUCUGAUUAGCUUGUUGGUGAGGUAACGGCUCACCAAGGCGACGAUCAGUAGGGGUUCUGAGAGGAAGGUCCCCCGCGUGGGAACGGAGACACGGUCCAAACUCCUACGGGAGGCAGCAGUGGGGAAUAUUGGUCAAUGGGCGCAAGCCUGAACCAGCCAAGUAGCGUGCAGGAAGACGGCCCUAUGGGUUGUAAACUGCUUUUAUACGAGAAUAAUUUGAUGCACGUGUGCGUUAUUGCAUGUAUCGUAUGAAUAAGGACCGGCUAAUUCCGUG
rnacentral:rRNA from 1 species